CCAAUUCAGCAAUUAAACGAAGUAAUUAACACAAACGUACAACUAAUCAGAGAGAUUAAGAACUCAAUAAUAUGAUUCACAUCUCAAGACCAAUUACCCAGCACAAACAAACCCAGAGAUGAAAAAAAAUAAAAAAUCGAUGAUCUACACCUAAAAGACAACAAAGCAACCAAAACUUGACCAAUUACCUGAAACAAUAUUAAUAUCUUUGCUGGAGAUAUUGAAUCAAAACUAAAAGUAACCAGGGAAACACAGUAAAGACAUUUGUACUCGAGUAUUUAAAAACACCACAUGAAUCAUCUUAUUCUUCGUAAUCUUUAGCUUCCCAUUAAUACACCUUCUCGAAUGAGCAGCAACUUGAGCAUAAUUGAAGACAUGUAGACAGAGUAUCAAUAAAGCCACAAUGAGAGUAGAUUAGUUACCAACAACAAAGAAUAGAUGCAGAAUAUUGAUAUAAAGUUUCCAAUUUAAUGGAAGAAGUGAUAACACUAAACAAAGGGAUUUCAACUUUGGCAAGAUCAAAACAUUUUUGAGUUAUCAAUUUUGUUUAGGGAGCUGUACAUGUAAGAACACAAUAUAACAUAUAUUAGAGAAAGAGAUUUCUGAAAUUUAUAUACAAGUGUCAACCGAUUACUAUCAGGUUAGCUACAUUAUCAAAAUUUUGAUUUCAAUAAUUUAGCAUGUCACUCAAUCAAGAUUUGGUAUGCUGGGAAUGAAUUUGGAUCUAUUUUUUGUCUUUCUAGGACCGAUAAAAUGGGUUCUGGAACCUUGCAUGCUAAAACGAAGCAUACUCUGCAGACAAGACCAAGAAUUAUCUGUACUACAAGAGAUUUUUAAAAAAGGGAACUUAUAACCACAACAUGAAAAACGUAACACAACAGAUCACUCACCAAUAAAAUUAAGCAAGACAAAAUAUGCAUAACAACAAAUUACUCAUCAAAAGGUUCCAGUGUUUACCUUUUCACUAAUAACCUACAGCAUCCCUACACCACAAAACAACAGCGAAAUUCAGUAAGCCAACCUCAUGAAUUUUUAAAAAUAACACUAAAUAAUAAUUUGAUGAGCAAAAUGGUGUCGUUGCUUAAUGUCAAUAGACCAACAGCUAGCCAAAAAGAAAAUGCCACUAUAAGUUAGGAAUGAGGUGAUCCACUACUCAACUAACACCUUCAAGGAAUAACAAUCCGACUCAUAUGACAGAACUAAUUGUUGGGUCAUCAAGAGGCUUCUCUAAAUCCGUGAUAGACCGACGUUUAUGAAAACCUCUUGAGGACAGAACACUUAGCAGUUCCCACCGCAUUCAUAAUGAACACAUGACAGCUCCAUUGACACACACAACACAAACAAAGCAAGGAACAUCUAUAAGUUUCAUAGCAGAAAAAAUUGCAAAUCCAGUCCACAAAACAUACUUGCCCUAACGAAAAGUAAUCUGCAGCAACUCAGCAAAACCAUAACACAUUAUUCAAAUACACUUGAAUUGUAAAUACCGUGCAAACAAAUAGAACAUGCCAACAACAUCAUCUCUUCAUGCAGAAAACCAUAAUAACAUUAUAACAGACGUACAACAUAAGGAAAACUAUUUAGCUUGAUGCCAAAAGUUAACAAAUAGUCAUCCAUCUCAUCAGGUUAAUAUAACUCAACAAAAAAAGAAAGGAUAAUGAGGCAAUUACCAGGCCUAUACAGUUCUACACAUACAAGCAACAAAUCUACAAUUCCCAUAGUGUAUGCAGAAUCACCUCAAUCCUUAACUGCCAUCAAAAGAACUUUUAUCUGCCCAAGGGAGCAGAAUAUCAGAAUCAAGAAAAUAUAGAAAAGGAAAACAAGAAAAACCAUGAAUGUAAGCUAUGAAAAUAAUGAAACAAAAGUCAUCAUAACAAUUUUAGUCAACUUCCACCUUAUAAAACUAUAAAGUCAUCCCGACCUGAUCUAAAGGCAUAGAACCCAUAUACGGAAACAAUCAAAUUAAUUAGAGACUAAAAACCAUUCUACAGUAUUAAUACCUGAAAUCGAAUCAGAAAUUUGAACUCAAUUCAGUUCAGUAGAUGAUGGUGGUGCUCCUUGAGCUCCUUCCAACACCACCGAGUCAACGACUUCAACCUCCUCCAAUUUCCCAAUCACCACUUGGACGCCAUAAACCUCCUCGGUGGCAAAUUGAACUUAAUCCCGUUUCGGUCAACCCCGCUCAACACCAUCUUCAAUAAUUAACAAAUUUCACAUGUCCCGUUAUCCGGUAUCUAAAGAAAAUUAUAGGGAUCUCUAAUUUCUUACGGUUUCUUCCAUGGAUGAUAAGACUGGUUGCCGAUUUCUGGAACGCUCCUUCGAUUGCACCAGAUUUCAAUUUCGGGAUCUAGAUCGGAAACCGGCGACUCAGGGCCGUAUUUUCUGGAAAAACCCACAGGUUGCGCAAGAAUUUGGAUUUCUGCUCCAACGGCUGAUAUGAAGCAGCAGAAUCGUUCUGUUUUCGGUCCACGCAGAGAAACCCUAGAUUUUGGAGAUAAGAAAAGGAAUCAGAAGAUCUGUUGAAUCGAUCCUCUUAAUCGAUUAUGGAUGGCACAGGCGAGACGCGUGCGUACACGGUAAAAGUAUGAGUGAAAUCUGGGAUACCUAUAUAUACUAGCCAAAUACAAACCGUCUUCAUACAGAAUCCAAGGGGACAAUACACAGACAGUAGGGGGCAGUUGGGUGCAGCACCCUCUGGGUGCAUUCCAGAAUUCUCUUGCUAAAAGCAGUCUGAAAAGAAAAAACAACUACUAGUAGCUAUUUGCCAUCACUUUGCAAACACAAAUCAGAUCGGAACGCAUAAAAUCAAGGUUUAUCGGAAAGGUUGGUGCAUGAGUUCUCUCUAGCCACUAUAUUUUUAUUAUUUCUAAUCAACUUUCUUUUAUUUGUAGCAAACCUUGCAUAGAGAAAAAGCAGACGCUCUUAAUUUUUCAUAGUUGAAAUAUACACAAGUCAUGCAAAAUAAAUGAGUUAAGAAUUUAUAAUUCAAACAAUACUUGUGAUUUAAUGUUGCAAAUAGCAUGACAAUAUAUAUGGCGAGGUUGCCAACUCUUCCUCUAUGACUAAAUACGACGACACAUCACACAUCUAGUCCUACUUACACAAAGAUAUAUAG
rnacentral:lncRNA from 1 species